rnacentral:snRNA from 1 species
UUCUUUCUCAACAAACAGCA